UACGUAGGGGCAGCGUUGUCCGGAUCAUUGGCGUAAGCAGCGUGUAGGCGGUUCGGUAAGUCUGCUGUGAAAGUCCAGGGCUCAACCCUGGGAUGCCGGUGGAUACUGUCGGACUAGAGUCCGGAAGAGGCGAGUGGAAUUCCUGGUGUAGCGGUGGAAUGCGCAGAUAUCAGGAGGAACACCAAUAGCGAAGGCAGCUCGCUGGGACGUUACUGACACUGAGGCGCGAAGCGUGGGGAGCA
rnacentral:rRNA from 1 species